GACGAACGCUGGCGGCGUGCUUAACACAUGCAAGUCGAACGGAAAGGCCCUGCUUUUGUGGGGUGCUCGAGUGGCGAACGGGUGAGUAACACGUGAGUAACCUGCCCUUGACUUUGGGAUAACUUCAGGAAACUGGGGCUAAUACCGGAUAGGAGCUCCUGCGGCAUGGUGGGGGUGGGAAAGUUUCGGCGGUUGGGGAUGGACUCGCGGCUUAUCAGCUUGUUGGUGGGGUAGUGGCUUACCAAGGCUUUGACGGGUAGCCGGCCUGAGAGGGUGACCGGCCACAUUGGGACUGAGAUACGGCCCAGACUCCUACGGGAGGCAGCAGUGGGGAAUAUUGCACAAUGGGCGGAAGCCUGAUGCAGCAACGCCGCGUGCGGGAGGACGGCCUUCGGGUUGUAAACCGCUUUCGCCUGUGACGAAGCGUGAGUGACGGUAAUGGGUAAAGAAGCACCGGCUAACUACGU
rnacentral:rRNA from 1 species